rnacentral:rRNA from 1 species
CCUACGGGAGGCUGCAGUGGGGAAUAUUGGACAAUGGGGGAAACCCUGAUCCAGCCAUGCCGCGUGUGUGAAGAAGGCCCUCGGGUUGUAAAGCACUUUCAGUGAGGAAGAACGCCUGGUGGUUAAUACCCAUCAGGAAAGACAUCACUCACAGAAGAAGCACCGGCUAACUCCGUGCCAGCAGCCGCGGUAAUACGGAGGGUGCGAGCGUUAAUCGGAAUUACUGGGCGUAAAGCGCGCGUAGGUGGCUUGAUAAGCCGGUUGUGAAAGCCCCGGGCUCAACCUGGGAACGGCAUCCGGAACUGUCAAGCUAGAGUGCAGGAGAGGAAGGUAGAAUUCCCGGUGUAGCGGUGAAAUGCGUAGAGAUCGGGAGGAAUACCAGUGGCGAAGGCGGCCUUCUGGACUGACACUGACACUGAGGUGCGAAAGCGUGGGUAGCAAACAGGAUUAGAUACCCUAGUAGUC